AGUGAACGCUGGCGGUAGGCCUAACACAUGCAAGUCGAACGGCAGCACAGUAAGAGCUUGCUCUUACGGGUGGCGAGUGGCGGACGGGUGAGGAAUACAUCGGAAUCUACUUUUUCGUGGGGGAUAACGUAGGGAAACUUACGCUAAUACCGCAUACGUCCAACGGGUGAAAGCAGGGGAUCUUCGGACCUUGCGCGACUGAAUGAGCCGAUGUCGGAUUAGCUAGUUGGCGGGGUAAAGGCCCACCAAGGCGACGAUCCGUAGCUGGUCUGAGAGGAUGAUCAGCCACACUGGAACUGAGACACGGUCCAGACUCCUACGGGAGGCAGCAGUGGGGAAUAUUGGACAAUGGGCGCAAGCCUGAUCCAGCCAUACCGCGUGGGUGAAGAAGGCCUUCGGGUUGUAAAGCCCUUUUGUUGGGAAAGAAAAGCAGCAGGUUAAUACCCCGCUGUUCUGACGGUACCCAAAGAAUAAGCACCGGCUAACUUCGUG
rnacentral:rRNA from 1 species